rnacentral:sRNA from 1 species
UGCUGUCAACGACAGCCACCAAUGUUUCCAGUAUCAGGACGAUACGAGUGAUCUGUGAGAAACGCCUUCGGGUGGUCACAAGCCAAAGUCAUAUGGAAUGGAGUGUGGUCUGAGACUGACGCCUUCGGGCGACCACAAAGAAAGUUGUCAUAACCUGAAAGACAACGCUGGAAGCGGUAAACCU